AUUGGAGCUUGCUCCGGGAAGAUCGAGUGGCGGACGGGUGAGUAACACGUGAGCAACCUGCCUUUCAGAGGGGGAUAACGUUUGGAAACGAACGCUAAUACCGCAUAACAUAUACCGGUGGCAUCAUUGGUAUAUCAAAGGAGCAAUCCGCUGAAAGAUGGGCUCGCGCCCGAUUAGAUAGUUGGUGGGGUAAUGGCCUACCAAGUCUGCGAUCGGUAGCCGGACUGAGAGGUUGAUCGGCCACAUUGGGACUGAGACACGGCCCAGACUCCUACGGGAGGCAGCAGUGGGGAAUAUUGCACAAUGGAGGAAACUCUGAUGCAGCGACGCCGCGUGAGUGAAGACGGUCUUCGGAUUGUAAAGCUCUGUCUUCGGGGACGAUAAUGACGGUACCCGAGGAGGAAGCCACGGCUAACUACGUGCCAGCAGCCGCGGUAAUACGUAGGUGGCGAGCGUUGUCCGGAAUUACUGGGUGUAAAGGGAGCGCAGGCGGGGAGCCAAGUUGGAUGUGAAAUACCGCAGCUCAACUGCGGGGCUGCAUCCAAAACUGGUUCUCUUGAGUGAAGUA
rnacentral:rRNA from 1 species